AUUGAACGCUGGCGGAAUGCUUUACACAUGCAAGUCGAACGGCAGCACGGACUUCGGUCUGGUGGCGAGUGGCGAACGGGUGAGUAAUACAUCGGAACGUGCCCAGUCGUGGGGGAUAACGUAGCGAAAGAUACGCUAAUACCGCAUACGUCCUAAGGAUGAAAGCGGGGGACCGCAAGACCUCGCGCGAUUGGAGCGGCCGAUGGCGGAUUAGGUAGUUGGUGGGGUAAAGGCUCACCAAGCCGACGAUCUGUAGCUGGUCUGAGAGGACGACCAGCCACACUGGAACUGAGACACGGCCCAGACUCCUACGGGAGGCAGCAGUGGGGAAUUUUGGACAAUGGGCGCAAGCCUGAUCCAGCCAUUCCGCGUGCAGGAUGAAGGCCCUCGGGUUGUAAACUGCUUUUGUACGGAACGAAAAGGCUCUGGUUAAUACCUGGGGCUCAUGACGGUACCGUAAGAAUAAGCACCGGCUAACUACGUGCCAGCAGCCGCCGUAA
rnacentral:rRNA from 1 species